rnacentral:rRNA from 1 species
UACGUAGGGUGCAAGCGUUGUCCGGAAUUAUUGGGCGUAAAGAGCUCGUAGGCGGUCUGUCGCGUCGGAUGUGAAAAUCCAGGGCUUAACCCUGGGCCUGCAUUCGAUACGGGCAGACUAGAGUUCGGUAGGGGAGACUGGAAUUCCUGGUGUAGCGGUGGAAUGCGCAGAUAUCAGGAGGAACACCGAUGGCGAAGGCAGCCCCCUGGGCUAACACUGACGCUCAGGCACGAAAGCGUGGGGAGCAAACAGG